rnacentral:rRNA from 1 species
AUGAUUUUAGUGCUUGCACUAAAUGAAACUAGAUACAAGCGAGCGGCGGACGGGUGAGUAACACGUGGGUAACCUGCCCAAGAGACUGGGAUAACACCUGGAAACAGAUGCUAAUACCGGAUAACAACACUAGACGCAUGUCUAGAGUUUGAAAGAUGGUUCUGCUAUCACUCUUGGAUGGACCUGCGGUGCAUUAGCUAGUUGGUAAGGUAACGGCUUACCAAGGCAAUGAUGCAUAGCCGAGUUGAGAGACUGAUCGGCCACAUUGGGACUGAGACACGGCCCAAACUCCUACGGGAGGCAGCAGUAGGGAAUCUUCCACAAUGGACGAAAGUCUGAUGGAGCAACGCCGCGUGAGUGAAGAAGGGUUUCGGCUCGUAAAGCUCUGUUGGUAGUGAAGAAAGAUAGAGGUAGUAACUGGCCUUUAUUUGACGGUAAUUACUUAGAAAGUCACGGCUAACUACGUGCCAGCAGCCGCGGUAAUACGUAGGUGGCAAGCGUUGUCCGGAUUUAUUGGGCGUAAAGCGAGUGCAGGCGGUUCAAUAAGUCUGAUGUGAAAGCCUUCGGCUCAACCGGAGAAUUGCAUCAGAAACUGUUGAACUUGAGUGCAGAAGAGGAGAGUGGAACUCCAUGUUUAUGC